rnacentral:rRNA from 1 species
AUUGAACGCUGGCGGAAUGCUUUACACAUGCAAGUCGAACGGUAGAGGGGGCAACCCCUUGAGAGUGGCGAACGGGUGAGUAAUAUAUCGGAACGUGCCCAGUCGUUGGGGAUAACGUAGCGAAAGUUACGCUAAUACCGCAUACGAUCUAAGGAUGAAAGCGGGGGAUCGCAAGACCUCGCGCGACUGGAGCGGCCGAUAUCAGAUUAGGUAGUUGGUAGGGUAAAGGCCUACCAAGCCAACGAUCUGUAGCUGGUCUGAGAGGACGACCAGCCACACUGGAACUGAGACACGGUCCAGACUCCUACGGGAGGCAGCAGUGGGGAAUUUUGGACAAUGGGCGAAAGCCUGAUCCAGCCAUUCCGCGUGCAGGAUGAAGGCCCUCGGGUUGUAAACUGCUUUUGUACAGAACGAAAAGGUUUCUAUUAAUACUAGGAGCUCAUGACGGUACUGUAAGAAUAAGCACCGGCUAACUACGUG